GUACUGUGCAAACGUUAUUCGGAAUCACUGGGCUUAAAGGGUGCGUAGGCGGUUGAUUAAGUAGGGUGUGAAAGCUCUCGGCCUAACCGAGGAAUUGCGCUCUAAACUGAUCAGCUUGAGUGAGAUAGGGGUGUGCGGGACUUCCAGUGGAGCGGUGAAAUGUGUUGAUAUUGGAAGGAACGCCGGUGGCGAAAGCGGCACACUGGGUCUCAACUGACGCUGAGGCACGAAAGCCAGGGUAGCGAACGGGGGAUUAGAUACCCCGGUAGUCCUGGCUGUAAACGAUGAGCACUAGACGGGAGGAGCUUCGGCUCAUCCGGUCGCAGCGAAAGCAAUAAGUGCUCCGCCUGGGAGUAUGGUCGCAAGGCUG
rnacentral:rRNA from 1 species